CAGAACGUCGUGAGACAGUUCGGUCUCUAUCUGUUGUGGGCGUUGGAAGUUUGCGAAGGUCUGACCUUAGUACGAGAGGACCGGGUCGGACGAACCUCUGGUAUACCGGUUGUGGCGCCAGCUGCACCGCCGGGUAUCCACGUUCGGUCAGGAUAAGCGCUGAAAGCAUCUAAGCGCGAAGCCGUCUCCAAGAUGAGGGUUCCCUUGAGGGUCGUGGGAGACUACCACGUUGAUAGGCAGGAGGUGUAUAACAGUGAUGUUCAGCCGACCUGUACUAAUGGCCCGAGAGACUUUCCUAA
rnacentral:rRNA from 1 species